rnacentral:rRNA from 1 species
AACGAACGCUGGCGGCAGGCUUAACACAUGCAAGUCGAACGCAUCCUUCGGGGUGAGUGGCAGACGGGUGAGUAACGCGUGGGAACGUGCCCUUCAGUUCGGGAUAACCCAGGGAAACUUGGGCUAAUACCGGAUACGUGCGAGAGCAGAAAGAUUUAUCGCUGAAGGAUCGGCCCGCGUAAGAUUAGCUAGUUGGUGAGGUAACGGCUCACCAAGGCGAUGAUCUUUAACUGGUCUGAGAGGAUGAUCAGUCACACUGGAACUGAGACACGGUCCAGACUCCUACGGGAGGCAGCAGUAGGGAAUAUUGGACAAUGGGGGCAACCCUGAUCCAGCGACGCCGCGUGAGCGAUGAAGGCCUUCGGGUCGUAAAGCUCUGUUGUAAGGGAAAAAGUUCUGAUUGUACCUUACGGGAAAGGAUCGGCUAACUUCGUGCCAGCCGCCGCCGUAA